ACUAACUAGGAUUCCCUUUGUAGCGGCGAGCGACAAGGGAAGAGCCCAGCACCGAAUCCCGCGGCCGACUCCGGACGCCGGGAAAUGUGGUGUUAGGGAGGGUCCGCCAUCCCGAGGUCGCGUCUCGCGUCCAAGUCCUUCUUGAACGGGGCCACUUACCCAGAGAGGGUGCCAGGCCCGUAGGGACCGUUCCCGAUCGCGGGAGGACCUCUCCUCAGAGUCGGGUUGCUUGAGAGUGCAGCCCCAAGUUGGUGGUAAACUCCAUCUAAGGCUAAAUAAAACCACGAGACCGAUAGCGAACAAGUACCGUGAGGGAAAGUUGAAAAGAACUUUGAAGAGAGAGUUCAAUAGUACGUGAAACCGUUCAGGGGUAAACCUGAGAAACCCGAAAAGUCGAACGGGGAGAUUCAGCGCAAGCUCUGCCGUCUUAAGUUUUCCGGCACGUGACGUGCGACGUUCGCGUCGCACGCCGUCCGGGCUUUCGAACGCGUCCGAGAAGCGUGCACUUCUCCCCUUGUAGAACGUCGCGACCCGUCGGGCGUCGGACUAAGGCCCGCGGAGGAGCCCGCCAAGGACGGUUCGCCGUUCCUUGCGGACCCGCGUAGCCCGUCCGGCUACCAGACGGUUUGAACGAGGCGCGGAGUCGCGAACACGUUCGCGUCCGGUCCGUCGCGAGUUCGAGCGGUCGCCCGAAGAUCGGACAUGCGCCGUUCUCGGAGCCGUUCGGCUGUCGGCGGCGGAAUCCUCGGACGGACUCCGUACGCGCCGGUCGGCGACGCUUAGAUUCGGGUACUUUCAGGACCCGUCUUGAAACACGGACCAAGGAGUCUAGCAUGUGCGCGAGUCAUUGGGACUUUCUAAACCUAAAGGCGAAAUGAAAGUAAAGGACGCCCCGUGCGUCCGAGGGAGGAUGGGCCGUAGCCGUAAAGCGCGACCCCGCACUCCCGGGGCGUCUCAUUCUCCCCGCGAGUAGAGACGCACCCAGAGCGUACACGCUGGGACCCGAAAGAUGGUGAACUAUGCCCGGUCAGGACGAAGUCAGGGGAAACCCUGAUGGAGGUCCGUAGCGAUUCUGACGUGCAAAUCGAUCGUCGGAACUGGGUAUAGGGGCGUAAGACCAAUCGAACCAUCUAGUAGCUGGUUCCCUCCGAAGUUUCCCUCAGGAUAGCUGGCGCUCGUCAAAGAGCGACGAGUCUCAUCCGGUAAAGCGAAUGAUUAGAGGCAUUGGGGUCGAAACGGCCUCAACCUAUUCUCAAACUUUAAAUGGGUGAGAUCUCCGGCUUGCUCGAAAACGAAAGUUUGAAGCCGCGAGAUCGGAUCAGAG
rnacentral:rRNA from 1 species